rnacentral:tRNA from 1 species
UUAAUUGAAGCCAAAAACUAGAGGCAUAUCACUGUUAAUGAUAUAAUUGAAAUUUAUAUUCCAAUUAAG